GAUGAAGAACGUAGCGAAAUGCGAUACUUGGUGUGAAUUGCAGAAUCCCGUGAACCAUCGAGUCUUUGAACGCAAGUUGCGCCUCAAGCCAUUAGGUUGAGGGCACGUCUGCCUGGGCGUCACAUAUCGUUGCCUGAUGCCAGUUUCCUCGUGAUGGGUGACUGUGCAGGGCGAAUGAUGGCUUCCUGUGAGCAUUGUUGCCUCAUGGUUGGUUGAAAAUUGAGUCCUUGGUAGGGAGCGCAGUGAUAGAUGGUGGUUGAGUGACGAACGAGACCCAAUCAUGUGAGACCCCUACCGAAUUUGGCCUUCAUGACCCACAUGCGUCUUUGGAACGCUCAUGACGAGACCUCAGGUCAGGCGGGGCUACCCGCUGAGUUUAAGCAUAUCAAUAAGCGGAGGA
rnacentral:misc_RNA from 1 species